CCUACGGGUGGCUGCAGUGGGGAAUCUUGCACAAUGCGCGGAAGCGUGAUGCAGCAACGCCGCGUGCGGGAAGAAGGCCUUAGGGUUGUAAACCGCUUUCAGUUGGGACGAAGCUUCGCUGGUUAAGAGCUGGUUGGAGUGACGGUACCUUCAGAAGAAGCGCCGGCUAACUACGUGCCAGCAGCCGCGGUAAUACGUAGGGCGCGAGCGUUGUCCGGAAUCAUUGGGCGUAAAGCGCGUGUAGGCGGCUGAGUAAGUCUGCUGUGAAAGUCCAA
rnacentral:rRNA from 1 species